AAAUUGAAGAGUUUGAUCAUGGCUCAGAUUGAACGCUGGCGGCAGGCCUAACACAUGCAAGUCGAACGGUAACAGGAAACAGCUUGCUGUUUCGCUGACGAGUGGCGGACGGGUGAGUAAUGUCUGGGAAACUGCCUGAUGGAGGGGGAUAACUACUGGAAACGGUAGCUAAUACCGCAUAACGUCGCAAGACCAAAGAGGGGGACCUUCGGGCCUCUUGCCAUCGGAUGUGCCCAGAUGGGAUUAGCUAGUAGGUGGGGUAACGGCUCACCUAGGCGACGAUCCCUAGCUGGUCUGAGAGGAUGACCAGCCACACUGGAACUGAGACACGGUCCAGACUCCUACGGGAGGCAGCAGUGGGGAAUAUUGCACAAUGGGCGCAAGCCUGAUGCAGCCAUGCCGCGUGUAUGAAGAAGGCCUUCGGGUUGUAAAGUACUUUCAGCGGGGAGGAAGGGAGUAAAGUUAAUACCUUUGCUCAUUGACGUUACCCGCAGAAGAAGCACCGGCUAACUCCGUGCCAGCAGCCGCGGUAAUACGGAGGGUGCAAGCGUUAAUCGGAAUUACUGGGCGUAAAGCGCACGCAGGCGGUUUGUUAAGUCAGAUGUGAAAUCCCCGGGCUCAACCUGGGAACUGCAUCUGAUACUGGCAAGCUUGAGUCUCGUAGAGGGGGGUAGAAUUCUAGGUGUAGCGGUGAAAUGCGUAGAGAUCUGGAGGAAUACCGGUGGCGAAGGCGGCCCCCUGGACGAAGACUGACGCUCAGGUGCGAAAGCGUGGGGAGCAAACAGGAUUAGAUACCCUGGUAGUCCACGCCGUAAACGAUGUCGACUUGGAGGUUGUGCCCUUGAGGCGUGGCUUCCGGAGCUAACGCGUUAAGUCGACCGCCUGGGGAGUACGGCCGCAAGGUUAAAACUCAAAUGAAUUGACGGGGGCCCGCACAAGCGGUGGAGCAUGUGGUUUAAUUCGAUGCAACGCGAAGAACCUUACCUGGUCUUGACAUCCACAGAACUUUCCAGAGAUGGAUUGGUGCCUUCGGGAACUGUGAGACAGGUGCUGCAUGGCUGUCGUCAGCUCGUGUUGUGAAAUGUUGGGUUAAGUCCCGCAACGAGCGUAACCCUUAUCCUUUGUUGCCAGCGGUCCGGCCGGGAACUCAAAGGAGACUGCCAGUGAUAAACUGGAGGAAGGUGGGGAUGACGUCAAGUCAUCAUGGCCCUUACGACCAGGGCUACACACGUGCUACAAUGGCGCAUACAAAGAGAAGCGACCUCGCGAGAGCAAGCGGACCUCAUAAAGUGCGUCGUAGUCCGGAUUGGAGUCUGCAACUCGACUCCAUGAAGUCGGAAUCGCUAGUAAUCGUGGAUCAGAAUGCCACGGUGAAUACGUUCCCGGGCCUUGUACACACCGCCCGUCACACCAUGGGAGUGGGUUGCAAAAGAAGUAGGUAGCUUAACCUUCGGGAGGGCGCUUACCACUUUGUGAUUCAUGACUGGGGUGAAGUCGUAACAAGGUAACCGUAGGGGAACCUGCGGUUGGAUCACCUCCUUACCUUAAAGAAGC
rnacentral:rRNA from 1 species